AUGAAGAAGCCACUCAAGUCAGAGCACCUAUACCAUGUGUGCAUGCAAAGGAAGACGUUGAAGAGAGUUUCCACUACUUGGGAGCUUGCUGUCUGGUUGAAAAGCCAAGCCAAGCACAUACAAACACGUUCCAAGUGCACGUUGGUAGCAUUCUUCUGCAGCAACCCAGGCUGGCAGUCUAGACUCAUCACUUUUCUGGACAAAAUGCUCAGACCUUCUGAUCUGCUAGCCUCCCAUCUCACCCUACUUGAACCUUUUCUCCGAACUGCUGCCAGCAGCCAGAACAAAGACAGUAACUUCAAUUCCACCUGAAAGUAGUGUCAAUUCAUCUUAUCAGGACUUUAUUGUCAGUGUGCUUCUCUAAACAUCCAACCACACAGUGUCAUUCACCUCUAUGACCCAUGUGUAUCUUGGCCAGAGCCUGCCAACCCACUUGGAACUUCUUCUGAGGCUUAUCACCUUCAGGCUGAUUAAAUAUAGGCUGUACUCCUGGGUCACUUGUGUGAGUCACCCUCAGGAUAACAGGAAACAACCUCUGCUGCUAGCCCAACCCUAUGGUGAGACACCGAGAAAGAAUUAUCCUUCCCUGGGAGGCUGUGUUGGAGGGUCCCUGGCAGGAGUUUGUGGAAAUUUCCCCACCAAGGCCUAGAAGUGCAUUUGCUCCCAAGAGAGGUCUAUUAACUCCUUCAGAACAAACAGACUCAUUCCUCAAGGACCAUCUUUAGCAGGAGUGUUCUAAUAUUUGAAUACAUAAAAAACCACAAAAGGAAUUUGUUUAAAAAUUCAGAUUUCCCAGAUCCCACUUGUAGGAAGGCUAAUUUGUGAGGAGUAUCACCCAGGAAUCUGCAUUUAACAAUCCCAACUCUUUCCCCUGCCCAUUAUGUUGAUGCAGGUGGCCCCAGUUCAGGAAGGGUUGUCAGGCUACCAAUAAUUAUUUUCUCCACAUUGGCCAGCACCUUCCUUGGCAGGGCCACGUCAGUCCCAAAGCCACAUAUAAUACUAAUUGUGCUGGUAGGAUGAUUUUUUUUUUUUUUUUUUUGAGAUGGAGUUUUGUUCUUGUUGCCCAGGUUGGAGUGCAAUGGUGCGAUCUCGGUUCAUGGCAACCUCUGAUUCCCAGGUUCAAGCAAUUCUCCUGCCUCAGCCUCCUGAGUAGCUGGGAUUACAG
rnacentral:lncRNA from 1 species